UCCUGGCUCAGAAUCAACGCUGGCGGCGUGCCUAACACAUGCAAGUCGCACGAGAAAGGGACUUCGGUCCUGAGUAAAGUGGCGUACGGGUGAGUAACACGUGACUAACCUACCUCCGAGUGGGGAAUAACCUAGGGAAACCUGGGCUAAUACCGCAUAACACUUACGAGUCAAAGCAGUAAUGCGCUUGGAGAGGGGGUCGCGGCAGAUUAGCUAGUUGGCGGGGUAAUGGCCCACCAAGGCAAUGAUCUGUAUCCGGCCUGAGAGGGCGCACGGACACACUGGAACUGAAACACGGUCCAGACUCCUACGGGAGGCAGCAGUGGGGAAUUUUGCGCAAUGGGGGAAACCCUGACGCAGCAACGCCGCGUGGAGGAUGAAGUAUCUUGGUAC
rnacentral:rRNA from 1 species